rnacentral:rRNA from 1 species
UACGGGGGGAGCAAGCGUUGUUCGGAUUUACUGGGCGUAAAGGGCGCGUAGGCGGCCAGCACAAGUCAGUUGUGAAAUCUCCGAGCUUAACUCGGAAAGGUCAACUGAUACUGUGCGGCUAGAGUGCGGAAGGGGCAACUGGAAUUCUUGGUGUAGCGGUGAAAUGCGUAGAUAUCAAGAGGAACACCUGCGGCGAAGGCGGGUUGCUGGACCAACACUGACACUGAGGAGCGAAAGCCAGGGGAGCAAACGGG